GUCGAGCGGCAGCACGGACUUCGGUCUGGUGGCGAGCGGCGCACGGGUGCGUAACGCGUAUGCAACCUGCCUUAUGCAGGGGGAUAGCCCAUGGAAACGUGGAUUAAUACCCCAUAAUAUUAUUGAUUCGCAUGGAUUAAUAAUUAAAAUUUCGGUGGCAUAAGAUGGGCAUGCGUCUGAUUAGCUAGUUGGUGAGGUAACGGCUCACCAAGGCGACGAUCAGUAGGGGUUCUGAGAGGAUUACCCCCCACACUGGUACUGAGACACGGACCAGACUCCUACGGGAGGCAGCAGUGAGGAAUAUUGGUCAAUGGGCGAGAGCCUGAACCAGCCAUCCCGCGUGCAGGAUGACGGCCCUAUGGGUUGUAAACUGCUUUUCUACGCCAAGAAACGUUCCGACGUGUCGGAAACUGACGGUAGCGUAGGAAUAAGCAUCGGCUAACUCCGUGCCAGCAGCCGCGGUAAUACGGAGGAUGCAAGCGUUAUCCGGAUUCAUUGGGUUUAAAGGGUGCGCAGGCGGGUUUGUAAGUCAGUGGUGAAAUAUUGUCGCUUAACGAUAAGGUUGCCAUUGAUACUGCAGGUCUUGAGUUUGGUUGAGGUAGGCGGAAUGUGCAGUGUAGCGGUGAAAUGCAUAGAGAUUGCACAGAACACCGAUUGCGAAGGCAGCUUACUAAGCCAAAACUGACGCUGAGGCACGAAAGCGUGGGGAGCGAACAGGAUUAGAUACCCUGGUAGUCCACGCCGUAAACGAUGUUCACUCGCUGUUUGCGAUAUACAGCAAGCGGCUUAGCGAAAGCAUUAAGUGAACCACC
rnacentral:rRNA from 1 species